UAAGGAAUAUUGGACAAUGGAGGCAACUCUGAUCCAGCCAUGCCGCGUGAAGGAAUAAGGCCCUAUGGGUUGUAAACUUCUUUUAGACGGGACAAAGACCCUUUACGUGUAAAGGGUUGAUGGUACUGUCAGAAUAAGCAUCGGCUAACUUCGUGCCAGCAGCCGCGGUAAUACGAAGGAUGCAAGCGUUAUCCGGAAUUAUCGGGUUUAAAGGGUGCGUAGGCGGACUAAUAAGUCAGUUGUGAAAGCCUGUCGCUUAACGAUAAAACUGCCAUUGGUACUGUCAGUCUUGUGUAUAUUUGAGGUAGCUGGAAUAAGUAGUGUAGCGGUGAAAUGCAUAGAUAUUACUUAGAACGCCAAUGGCGAAGGCAUGUUACCAAGAUAUAACUGACGCUGAGGGACGAAAGCGUGGGGA
rnacentral:rRNA from 1 species